rnacentral:rRNA from 1 species
AACGAACGCUGGCGGCAGGCCUAACACAUGCAAGUCGAGCGAUACCAGCGAAUGGUGGAGCGGCAGACGGGUGAGUAACACGUGGGAACGUACCCUUCGGUUCGGAAUAACUCAGGGAAACUUGAGCUAAUACCGGAUACGUCCGAGAGGAGAAAGAUUUAUCGCCGAAGGAUCGGCCCGCGUCUGAUUAGCUAGUUGGUGAGGUAAUGGCUCACCAAGGCGACGAUUCGAGGAGCUGGUCUGAGAGGAUGAUCAGCCACAUUGGGACUGAGACACGGCCCAAACUCCUACGGGAGGCAGCAGUGGGGAAUAUUGGACAAUGGGCGCAAGCCUGAUCCAGCCAUGCCGCGUGAGUGAUGAAGGCC